rnacentral:lncRNA from 1 species
AAAAACAAUAAAAUCAUCCAACACAGCCCAACAAUAUCGAAAAUAAUGUAAUAAUGGCUAUGAACCCAAAAACACAAGAACACAACAAUGAUUAAAUACAGAUAAUCGGAGCAUUAUUUUUCAGUCAGAUCUAAAAAAUUGUCGGAAUUACUGGAGCUUGGAGCUCUAAUUCGUCGUUGUUGAUUUCCUCCGGUCUACCGGAGUUAGGAUUUCACGGUGAUGGCUGGACACUGUUAGCGAUGUGGGUCUGGAUGAGAGAGCAGAGAGCAGAGUCAGUUUUCCUUUGACCCGUUCUUGGAAUCAGAGAGGAAGACCUAGCUCUAUCGAUCAAAAUAAAAUAAAAUAAAAAGGCCACCAGACUGAAGUUAGAGAUACAAUUCAUGUUUCAAGUAAUUAAA